UGGCGGACGGGUGAGUAAUGUCUGGGAAACUGCCCGAUGGAGGGGGAUAACUACUGGAAACGGUAGCCAAUACCGCAUAACGUCGCAAGACCAAAGAGGGGGACCUUCGGGCCUCUUGCCAUCGGAUGUGCCCAGAUGGGAUUAGCUAGUAGGUGGGGUAACGGCUCACCUAGGCGACGAUCCCUAGCUGGUCUGAGAGGAUGACCAGCCACACUGGAACUGAGACACGGUCCAG
rnacentral:rRNA from 1 species